CAGCUUAACUACAGAAAGUUGAAAUGUGCCUAGCUCGAACCCAUUUGUCACUCAAGCGUCUUCCUUUCUACUUCAUAUAUGGGUCUGCUUCUAUCUUUGCCUGUGUUGCUGAAGAUAGAAUGGAUCUUCUUAGGGCUGCGAUUAUUGGCCCUAAGGGAACACCCUACCAUGAUGGCCUCUUCUUCUUUGAUGCACAUUUUACCUCUAACUAUCCUUCUGAGCCUCCGUUGGUGCAUUACCAUUCUGGAGGGCUUUGACUUAAUCCGAACUUGUAUAAUUGUGGAAAAGUCUGCCUCAUUGGUUUUAUAAACUACCAUGAGGGCUCUUCAUCUCCAGUCGCUGGUCCACUGCUUCUCUGGUUUUAUAAAAAGGAAGUGGGGAUGGACAUUCGUGGAUUUGCCGUCCCUGAUUUGCUUUGUGGAGGCUACAACCUGGAGUCUCAUAGGUGUGUGAAGAUGAUCUAGGGCAUUGCUUCGUUAGGGGUUCACUUAUGUACAAGAAUGGCAUGUUCUUUCACGUGUAAUAUAUUGUGGUUUUUUCUACUCGACACCACCUGGACCAUGAUCACCGUAACCUGCUCUAUGGUUUGGAUCUGAGCACUGGACCAUGGUGCUGGACAGGGCACGACGCCCUAAAGACCGCUCUUUGGAAAUCCAAUAUACUUAGAUAGAUAGAAAUGAAAGUUGAGGACCAACAUGUAUGUUGUAUCGUGGAUGUCCCCCUUCAUAGCAUUGUUUUAUGAAAUGCACUAAUACUCCGAGAAGUUGUUUUGAGUAUAUUUGUUACAACAAGUAUGCUUUGG